rnacentral:rRNA from 1 species
UACAUGGGGUGCAAACGUUGCUCGGAAUCACUGGGCGUAAAGGGUGCGUAGGCGGGUCUUUUAAGUCAGGGGUGAAAUCCUGGAGCUCAACUCCAGAACUGCCUUUGAUACUGAAGAUCUUGAGUUCGGGAGAGGUGAGUGGAACUGCGAGUGUAGAGGUGAAAUUCGUAGAUAUUCGCAAGAACACCAGUGGCGAAGGCGGCUCACUGGCCCGAUACUGACGCUGAUGCACGAAAGCGUGGGGAGCAAACAGG